AUGAAUGGGCAGUUAGGUGAUUUUGGUCUUGCAAGGAUAUAUGACCAUGAAAUCGCCGCUCCAGACACCCAUGUGGCUGGCACCAUUGGAUAUCUUGCACCAGAACUUGCGCGCACGGGGAGGCCAACGCCCUUCACCGACGUAUACGCAUUUGGCAUGUUUCUCCUGGAGGUCACAUGUGGUCGUAAGCCAAUCUUCACCGACGAGCAAAAUAAUCAGUUAUUGUUGGUAGAGUGGGUGCUUGAGCACCAUCGGGGUGGCUCAAUCCUCGACACGGUAGAUCCACGUCUCCAAGGGGAAUUCAACAUGGAGGAGGUAACCAUCGUGCUAAAACUUGGUUUGAUAUGCACGUACCCAUUGCCCAAUGUGCGGCCUAUCAUGCGAAAGGUCAUGCAAUACCUCAUCACAAUCAAUCGCCCCAUGAUUUAUCGCCGGCCUACAUAA
rnacentral:rRNA from 1 species